rnacentral:rRNA from 1 species
AUUGAACGCUGGCGGCAUGCUUUACACAUGCAAGUCGAACGGUAACAGGCCGCAAGGUGCUGACGAGUGGCGAACGGGUGAGUAAUGCAUCGGAACGUGCCCAGUCGUGGGGGAUAACUACUCGAAAGAGUAGCUAAUACCGCAUACGAUCUAUGGAUGAAAGCGGGGGACCGUAAGGCCUCGCGCGAUUGUAGCGGCCGAUGUCAGAUUAGGUAGUUGGUGGGGUAAAGGCUCACCAAGCCAACGAUCUGUAGCUGGUCUGAGAGGACGACCAGCCACACUGGGACUGAGACACGGCCCAGACUCCUACGGGAGGCAGCAGUGGGGAAUUUUGGACAAUGGGCGCAAGCCUGAUCCAGCAAUGCCGCGUGCAGGAAGAAGGCCUUCGGGUUGUAAACUGCUUUUGUACGGAACGAAACGGCUCUGGUUAAUACCCGGGGCUAAUGACGGUACCGUAAGAAUAAGCACCGGCUAACUACGUG